UCUCUCUCUCCCCCCUCUCUCCCAGUCAGUCGGAUGAACGGUCUCUGCAGGCCCGCUCAGCCGGCCCAGGUUUUUCCCGCGGGGGGAUAGCGAGGGGAUCCUUAUGCACAACCCCAUGAAAUGAACAAAGCUCCACAGCCCACAGGAGGAGCCCCGACUGCCCCGCACCCUGCCCCUUCUCCUGGACUGCCGCAGCCAACGUUCCCACCUGGUCAGACGGCACCUGUGGUUUUUAACCCGGCACCGACCUCACAAAUGAAUACGCCUUCUCAGCCGCGCCAGUUUCCAGCAGGGCCUCGGGCUAUUCACCAGCAGGGAGGAUUCAGGUCUCUUCAGGUAACACUUUCUCCU